rnacentral:rRNA from 1 species
AACGAACGCUGGCGGCAGGCCUAACACAUGCAAGUCGAGCGCCCCUUUCGGGGGGAGCGGCGGACGGGUUAGUAACGCGUGGGAAUAUACCCAGAUCUAAGGAAUAGCCUCGGGAAACUGAGAGUAAUACCUUAUACGCCCUUUUGGGGAAAGAUUUAUCGGAUUUGGAUUAGCCCGCGUUAGAUUAGUUAGUUGGUGGGGUAAUGGCCUACCAAGACGACGAUCUAUAGCUGGUUUGAGAGGAUGAUCAGCAACACUGGGACUGAGACACGGCCCAGACUCCUACGGGAGGCAGCAGUGGGGAAUCUUAGACAAUGGGCGCAAGCCUGAUCUAGCCAUGCCGCGUGAGUGAUGAAGGCCUUAGGGUCGUAAAGCUCUUUCGCCUGUGAUGAUAAUGACAGUAGCAGGUAAAGAAACCCCGGCUAACUCCG